rnacentral:tRNA from 1 species
GAAGAUUUAGUUAAUUAAUAACAUUAGCUUGUCAAACUAAAAUUAUCUAUAAGAUAUUCUUCU